ensembl:misc_RNA 7SK 7SK RNA
GCAGGUUGAGAGGGUGAUCUGGUUGGGACAUCUGUCACCCCAUUUCAUGCCACAGUUGAUUUGGCUGUUCUGGUUGGCCAGGCAGGUGUCUCCAUCCUUCCUAACUGCUGUAAGUUUGUACCUCCCAAAGCUGCAUGCAUGAUUGAAGAGAAUGACCGCACCCAUAGAGGAAAAUCAUUCUUCAGUCACGGCUAUAAGAGUAGCUGUGCUCUUCUGUUAGAACAUCCAAUCAACCUCUCAAAGUCCAUUUGUAGAAGAACAUAGUGUAGGCAAGCUUCCAAAACUCCAGACAGAUCCAAAUGAGCCACUGAAUGUGGCAGUCUACCUUUCUUA